rnacentral:lncRNA from 1 species
CUCGUGUGGCGCCCGACGCGCGCGUUUUCGGGUCCCCGUCGAGCCCUCUGGGUGGGAUGGCGUCCACAGGCGCGGCCCGCGUCCGGCCGCGUGAGCGCCGGAGCCCCCCAGCAGCCCCGGCAGCAGCGCCGGCCCCUUUCCUGGUAGGCGGCGCCGAGCCUAGAGGUCCUCUGCCCCCACCCCCGGGCCUUGGGUCAGUUGUCGUCCUGGCACGCGAUGGGGACGUCGGCGGCCCUGGCCGGACGCGGGCUUCCUGACCCAGGGGAAGGGCAGUGCUCGUGGCCGCCGUUGCCUCCCCCUCCCCGGGCCGAGCGCCCAGGCUCGGGCUCUCCCGGACAGGGUCGCGCUGCAGCCCCGGGGCUGGAGACUGCGGGCAGCCUUCCUCCUCCAUCCGGAGUCCCUCUCCCGGGUCUCGCGGUCAUCGCCACCGGGUGGGACGCGCUCCUCGAGGACGCCAUUCGGCACAGGUUUUCCUCUAGGGAGCUAGCCUACCCCAGAAGCAAGGCUCGGGCUAGACCUCGGGCGGCGGUGCUGCGGAACCGCGCUUUUCCUGGCACCGCGGCAGACUCGUCAAGCGCGUCCUGUUUAACAGGGAGGGGUCGCUGGUCCGCUGCGGCCCCAGUGUCCGCGUAGCACCUGGCUCGCGCCCUUUCGGCACCCUGGGUCCGUCCUCGCGCACCUUCUCCAGCUCUCCCCGCACCCUGGGAUCCUCUCCUUCAGGCUCAUUUCACCCCAUGGUCCAGCCUAACUAUCCGUGCCGGGCACACACGUCGACACCCUGGCCGCAUCCUCACCGUGACCGUGCGCCCCUACCCAGGGGACCGCGCGGCCCCUAAGGGGCCGCAGGAUGUCGGGGGCGGAGCCUCGAGCGGCCCUCGGGGCUGCGGGGUCCUGAGUGCGGGGGUGGCACGUGCUCCUGCUCCACCGCCGGCGCCCCAGCGCUGGUGUCCCGUCGCCCCAGCCGGCCUCCUCCUUCGCCUCUCCAAGGGCACCGGAAUCUCCUCCACUGGGCCUUUCCCUUCCUGUGAUUUCUUCUGUAGCCAAACAAAACAAACCUCCUGAGUCGCUCGCCUCCCCCCACUAAGGCCUCUCCUGGCUGUCCAGUUUCUCCUCCUUUCUCUCUUAGCCCACUCCUGUCCGGCCUGCGUCCGCGCGCUGCUCCGACCCAUCUGCAGAAUCCAAGGACCAGUCUUCAGCCCUCACCAGGUGGCCAUCAGCGGCCCGUGGUCCCCUCCCCUCUGCGCUCCAUCUUUGCCUCCCUCCUCCGGGGGCUGCUGGGCAGUCCUUUGCCCCCCAUCUCUUCAUAUCCUCACCCCAAGGCCGUGUCCUUGGGCCUUUUCUUCACCUACACCCUGUCCUUUGUGACUGAAUCCAGUCGUGGCUGCAAAACCAGCCAUGUGGUUCCCACGUCCAGCUGCCCCCUGGACGUCUCCACCUGGAGAAGAGACUUCUCAACGUGAGCUGGCCGGAAACCCAUCUGCUUUCACCCUCCUUCUGCUCACCAGCUCUCUCCACAGCCUUCCCCAUCCCAGGUGAGGGCAGUGCAUCCUUGCAUCUUAGACCAAACCUACUACAGUCCUUCUAGAAAUGCUGUCCUGCCCACGCUCAGAGCCACCAGACUCCGUCUCUCCUCCCCGUGCCCUGCUAACCCUGGUCCACACUGCCCCUCACCUGGACUCUUGAGUCACAUGGCUGUCUCCCUGUUGUCCGCCCCCUUGUGGUCCAGUCUCCAUAAGACAACCAGAAGGACCUUUCCUUAUAACUUCUUUUUAUUGUGGUAAAAUAAACAUGACAUAAAAUAUACCAUUUUAACCACUUUUAGUGCAAUUCAGUGGCAUUAGGGAUAUUCACAUGGUUGUGCAGCAUCACCACCACCCAUCUCCACAAUUUUUCAUUUCCCCAGAGAAUCUGUGUCCUCAGCAAAUUGACUCCCCAUCCCCUCCCCCAGAGCCUGGCACCCACCAUUCUACUUCCUGUCUCUAGGAAUUUGACUCACUCCUGCAUUCAUCUUCCCAGAAGGGGGAACCAAGGUGGGGAGGUUGAGUCCAUGGGAGUCACUGAUGGACACAGGAUGUGAGAGAAAGGGAGGAGGCAAAGAUGGCGUCAAGUUUCAACUAUAAACACCAAGAAGUGGGACUGCAGGAUCAUAUGGAUCACUGUUCCGCACUGCCUGUUGUCUACUGCCUGAAAAACAUCGUUUCAUACUUUGCUCAGUUUUCAAUGCUUAAAGUGGUAGAUACACGGCCGUAAGUGGAGAGACAACACUGUACAUGUGCCAGGCGGGAACACACAGCCCCAGGAUGACCCCAGAACCAAGAAUCUUCAGAAAGAUUGCCACCUGAGACCUUUAUGAAGUGAGAAGUUCUUCAGUAAGGAAAAUCUGGCUUCCAGCAGCUUGACUACCGUAUAUGGACUGACUCGAGAUUAGCCAAUAAGCUUCUGCCCCUAAUUCCUUAAAUUUUGCCCUGAAUCCUAGAUUGGGGAGACAGAUUUGAGAGCCUUGCCUCCUAUCUUCUUGCCAGUCAACCUCACAAUAAAAUUCUUUCUUUUCUCAAAAACUGGUGCCAUAGUGUUGGCUUCUAUGUAUGUCGGGUAGCGAGCCCUUGCUCGGUAAUACUCUCAGACCAUAGCAGAAUUAAACUAGAAAUCAAUAACAGAAAGAUAGCUGGAAAAUCCCUAAAUACUUGAAGAUU